rnacentral:rRNA from 1 species
GACGAACGCUGGCGGCGUGCUUAACACAUGCAAGUCGAACGGAAAGGCCCUGGCUUUGUGGGGUGCACGAGUGGCGAACGGGUGAGUAACACGUGAGUAACCUGCCCCUGACUUUGGGAUAACCUCUGGAAACUGCGGCUAAUACCGGAUAGGAGCUCCUGCCGCAUGGUGGGGGUUGGAAAGUUUCGUCGGUUUGGGAUGGACUCGCGGCUUAUCAGCUUGUUGGUGGGGUAGUGGCUUACCAAGGCUUUGACGGGUAGCCGGCCUGAGAGGGGGACCGGCCACAUUGGGACUGAGAUACGGCCCAGACUCCUACGGGAGGCAGCAGUGGGGAAUAUUGCACAAUGGGCGGAAGCCUGAUGAAGCGACGCCGCGUGCGGGAUGACGGCCUUCGGGUUGUAAACCGCUUUCGCCUGUGACGAAGCGUGAGUGACGGUAACGGGUAAAGAAGCACCGGCUAACUACGUG